UACGAAGGGGGCGAGCGUUGUUCGGAUUUACUGGGCGUAAAGGGCGCGCAGGCGGCUAUCCAAGUCAGACGUGAAAUCCCUCGGCUUAACCGGGGAACUGCGUCUGAUACUGGAUGGCUUGAGUUUGGGAGAGGGACGCGGAAUUCCAGGUGUAGCGGUGAAAUGCGUAGAUAUCUGGAGGAACACCGGUGGCGAAGGCGGCGUCCUGGACCAACACUGACACUGAUGAGCGAAAGCCAGGGGAGCAAACGGG
rnacentral:rRNA from 1 species